AGAGUUUGAUCCUGGCUCAGGAUAAACGCUGGCGGCGUGCCUAACACAUGCAAGUCGAACGCCCUCGGGCAACUGAGGGAGUGGCGGACGGGUGAGUAACGCGUGGGUGACCUACCCCGAAGUGAGGAAUACCGGCGAGAAAUCGCCGACAAUACCGCAUAGCUUUCGAAGAGAAAGAAAGCUCGCAAGAGCGCUUUGGG
rnacentral:rRNA from 1 species